AAUGCUCGGGGAAUGGAGAAGCCUGGUGAGAAAUCCACCUUUCAGCAUCAAGAUACGUGGAAGAAAUUCAGGCCUGCAGCACAGAUGUUAGUGCAGAACCUUCCAAAGGGAAAAUGGUGUCCAGAUCCACCUAAUAGAACCAACCUUGAUGCAGCAGCUGAUGUUCAUGUUGCAAUUCCCAUCGCAGAGCAAGACUCCAUGGGAGCUUGGACGCUGCCACUCAAACCCAGAUUGCUGACAUUUUGCCUGUGGAUCACAAUACAUAAAGGGGCUUGCACGGUGACCAAGCUUCCAGCAAUCUGCCGUCCCAAAGAUCACUGAGGUGCCUCCAACCCUGAUUACCACAGCCCAUGCCAAGACACUGCAAUUUCCAACCAAGUUUCAAUAACCAGAACUCCUUGAACUUGUGCUUCGAAGGCUGUCUUUGGCUUCUAUCAUUGAAAGUCAGUGUUUGCACUAACUCUGCUGCAGCUGAUGUUAUGUCUUACAAAGGAACAGCAAGAUAGAAACAUUUCCAGAGCAUUAUUUGAAGACAAGCUAUGAAUUUUCCUGAUGCCACAGUUCUCAUUCCCCAUUCAGCCAAUAUCAACAAAGUCAAGUUAAUUGGCCAUUCCUCUUAUUGUUCUUUGUGGGAUCUUUCUAUGUACAUAUUUCAUUCUGUAUUCAGCUAAGACUUUAAAAGCAAUCAACUGGCUAUGAAACACUUUGGCACCUCCCAGGGAUGUGAAGGAAACCAUAUAAGUAGCUGCUGUAGAGAUGGUUGGCCGCUUCAAGUUCCUUGGCAUCCAUGUCACCAGCAAGCUGACCUGGUCCCUUCACGUUGAUGCGGUGAUUAAGAAAGCCCAUCAGUGGAUUCACUUUCUCAGACUUCUAAGAUUCAACUUGUCCAUGAGGAUUCUCUCAAACUUCUACAGACAUGCUAUAGAAAGUUUGCAUCUCAGCCUGGUGUGGCAACUGCUCUGCUCUUGACCGUCAGAACCUGCAGAGAGAGGUAAACACUGCCCAGUCCGUCACAGGCUCGUCACUUCCUUCCAUCCAGUCCAUCUUCACGGUGCGUUGCAUCAGGAAGGUUAACGGUCUCAUCAAGGAUGCCUGCCACCCUGGCCGUUCCCUUUUCUGUCUUCUACCUUCUGGGAGAAGAUACAGGAGCUUGAAAGCCCAGACGUCCAGACUUCAGAACAGCUUCUCCCCCACUGCUGUCAGACUCCUGAAGCAAUCGCCUCUCUCACAUCCCCUUCCCGGUGGUGCUGCCACGUUCUCGGACUCUCAACUCUACCUCUUUCAGUUAUUCUGCUAUGGUGACUUUAACAUUUCUUUUUGCACUACUUCGGAUUGCACUAUUGUCUUUGCACCAUUUUGUUGUUUUGAGCUCAUCAUUGUAUUGUUAUGUUUAUUAUUACCAUGUACACUGUUUACUCUGUGAGCUUCAUUGCACCCUGGUGUAUAUGACAAUAAUCGAAUCCAAUCUAACAUUGAACCAUUGGAGCAAUUCUGAUUGACAUUGCUCACUGAGGUGUUGAAUCGGCAUUCCAUCCAAACCCAAGGGUUUCCUGUUCAGUGGCUCCAUAGAAUGGAAUUAUACAAUUGUUUACAGGAUAUAAAGAGGUCUUUCGGCCCAUUGUGUCCAAUCCAGCUCUUAAUGGAAUAAUCCCAUCAGCCCCAUUUUCCUGCUCUUUUCCCACAACUAUGAAAACAAUUUUCCCUUGAUUAUCUAUUCAAUUCCCUUUAAAAAUACUGAUUGAUUCCGUUUUCGCCAUCCUGACAGGCAAUGAGUUCCAAAUGAUUGUUGCCUUCCCCCUCAAAACAAAACAUUCUCUCCUAGCCCCUCAUAUCUUUUAAAUUUAUAAAACUGAAGAUUUGUCUUUGAACCAUCUACUAAGCUGGAAAGAGUGCAGAGGAGAUUUACGAGCAUGUUGCUGGGACUCAAGGGACUGAGUUUUGGAGAGAGGUUGAGUAGAUUGGGACUUUAUUCAUGGAGAGUAGGAGAACGAGGGGUGGUGUAUAAAAUAAUAAGGGACAUAGAUAAGGUGAAUACCCACAGAUUUUUUCCCAGGGUUGGGGAAUCAAGAAUUAGAGGGCAUAGGUUUAAGGUGAGAGGGGAGAGAUUUAAUAGGAACCUGAGGGGCAACUUUUUCACCCAGAGCUUGGUCAGUAUAUGGAACGAGCUGCCAGAGAAAGUGGUUGAAGCAGGUACAUUAACAACAUUUAAAAUGUACUUGGACAGGUACAUGGAAAGGAAAGGUUUAGAGGGAUAAGGAUCAAAUAUGGGCAGAUGGCAGUAGCUUAGAUGGGAAUCUUGGACGGCAUGGACCAGUUGGGCCGAAGGGCCUGUUUCUGUGCUGUAUGACUCUAUGACUCUAAAGAAAACAGCUUGCCUCUUAGGAUAAAAAUAUUCUCAGUGAUUUGAUUUUAAAGAUUGAAAGCAUUGAAUGAUGGCAUACAAUAAUGUCUAAUAAUAGUGAAUAAACACAGGGUGAGGUCGCUCAGAGUCUAAUUGCAAAUUGGAAGGUGCUCUUUGUACUUUUAGGCAUCUAAAUCAAAGGCAAGCUUUUUUCAUUUUGAUAAAGCUUGUUUUGCAUCUGUAAAUGGAAGUGUGGUAUGUUCAAUUGUGAUACCAGGAGUGUGAGACAUCUGCAAAUUCAAAACAUUCAAAAAUAUAUACAUGUAACACUCAUGGCACUGCUCACACUGAGUUAGUUGUUAGAAUAUUAUGUCUCUUUGUUACCAGAGCUACAAAUUUUCAGUAAGUAGAUAAAACAGAAUUGGACUUCCAGGAUUAUUUCGCAAUGUUCUCAAGAUCCAAUCCUGUUGGUUUGUAAACCAUAUAAAUUAUGCUUGAUUA